AGGAAGCUAACUUUUUUGUAUCUGGCUAAUGAUGUUAUUCAGAAUAGCAAAAGAAAAGGACCAGAGUUUACAAAAGAUUUUGCACCUGUCAUAGUGGGAGCUUUUAAACACGUAUCCAGUGAAACUGAUGAUAGCUGCAAAAAGCAUCUGGGCCGUGUGCUGUCUAUUUGGGAAGAAAGGUCUGUUUAUGAAAAAGAUGUAUUGGAACAACUUAGACAAGCUUUGUAUGGAAACCCAAGGAAACGCACAUAUGAGCAGAUAAAGAUUGAAGAUAAUUGCUUUGCACAAAGCUCUCCAUGUGAUCCUCCCCAGACGAUGAAUCUUAUAAGAGCAUUACAAGAAUUAGAAAAUGCAACCUCUGGAGAUGCAGCAGUUCAUCAGAGGAUAGCCUCAAUACCUCUAGAGGUCCAAGAUGCAGCUUUGCUUAACAGAAUCACAGACAAAGAAUCAGGAGAACAGCUUUCCAAGAUGGUAGAUGAUUCAUGUAUGUUGCUGGCGGAUUACAAUGGCAGGUUGGCAGCUGAAAUUGAUGAUAGAAAACAACUAAAUCAGAUGUUAUCAGAUUUCUUACGAUUCCAAAAAGAAAUCCUGUCACAGAAAGAACAAACAUUGGAAGUGCGUGAUUUAUUGUGGUAGUUCUUUUCCCCAGCUUUUUUUCCCUAGUUAACAUUCUUUACUAUGUUUGCUUUUCCCCACAGGAUGUGUUUAGAUCAUAAGAUACUUCAGCUUUCUCAUAAUAGGUGGUUUUAACUCUUCUGAAGUAUUAAACAGUAAAGUGCAUACAUUCACUGUGGAAAAAAUGUUGGGUGAAGCAUUUGUUUUGUUAUCAAAUAUCAGAUAUUCUUAAUAUCAAACAUAACAUUAACAGAUCUCUUUCUUUCUAAUAUUUAU